AUGGGGAUAUGGAAGACAUGGGGUGGGGGAGGGGUGUGAGCAUUCCCCCGGAUGCCUGGGUCCCUCCCGAACGCCUGGGUCCCCCAGGAACCCCAACGUUUUGGCCUCGCUGCCCCUGGAGUUCUCAGCAGAGGAACACGAGCAGGCGGAGCGGCUGUUGGGGGGGGCCCUGUGGGGGUCCCUGGGGCUCCUGGGGGUGGAACUCAUCGGGUUCUUCUCGGGCGUCUCCAUGUUCCACGCGGGGCAGGGGCUGCUGUCGCUGGGGGCGCAUGCAGCGGCGACCUUGACCUUGACCUUGGCCCUCCCUGGAGCACUGGGACAGCAGCUGCUUCUGGCUCCUCUUUGGCCUCUGCAGGUGGGUCUGGGGGGGGGGGGAGGGGGGCUGUUUUUUUGGGGGUGUCCCCACCCACACACCCAUUGACCCCCCCAAUAUGUGGGGAGUCCAUCAAGGGUUGGUACUGGGGACCAGGGCUACCAUCAGCAACUUGUCUGAUGUGGGAAGCUAAGCAGGGUCGGCCCCGGUCAGUACUUGGAUGGGAGACCUUGAAGGUCAAUGGUACCUGGGGGGGAUUAUGAGGGUGGUCAGA